AUAAUAAUAAAAAAUCAAUACUACGCAAAAAAUAUGGUAAAAAAGUCAGACAAAUAAAAAUUUUAGUGGCAAGGCAGAUAUAAUAAACCAUCCCUUGACCUUACUAAUAUGAAAUCAAAACCGGUUCGUAGACACCGUUGAAUCCUGAAGCACGCUCUACUGGGACUGGUGUUCAGUAUUCAUCAUCAUGAGAACGGGGAUUGCGCAUCAUGGGGUUGUGGUGUUUCAGAUUGUCGGAAUGCUGCCACUGCCAACAAGUUCCGCAAAAGUAAUUGAAGCACUCCAUGUCACGACAAAAAUACGGUCCCAUUUGUGAGGCGCACACGCUGCAUACUGAAUCCUCCAGGAAAGGGUCAAUCUGGAUCUUCUUGCUGAAUUUUUGCGUCCGAAUCUCCACAAAUGCCGCACGGAUCGCUUUAACAUAACUCUGCGCACAGUUGAACACCACGCGGCCAGAUCCGAUCGGAUACUUGUACUUAUCUAAAAAAAGUCAACGAACUGCUUAAAUAGUUUAAAACAUAUAGUAACUCGAGUUGACCAACCUAGGUAAGCAAUACCGAAGGAUCUAUAUGACAAAGUUACAGCACACUGCAUCUGUUAACAAUAACUUACACUUCCCUGCAUAUGAACUACAAGCAUACUGCAUUGCCCAAUUUCAGGGAUCCACAAGUUAGGCUUCACAAACGGAAUCCCAAAAAUUUAAUCACCUGUGCUUCUACGGUUAACGGACUAACCUGUAUCGAUAUUAGCCGUCACGACGCCACCAAACAAAUCGUUCAUAAUGCGUGCCAGCCCUUCUGCAUUCAGCAUUCCAUGCAGACUACCCACAAAAACUGUCUUGGUGCCGGAAGUCGAAAUGCAGCCCGGAUGAACGUAAGUGGAAUCGGACAACGGCCAUGGAAUGAUCUGCACAUCUUUGCGGCGCAAACGAGUGCUGCAGACCUUGUAGUAGUAAUUGCGGCCGCCUCCAGUGGGACUGGUGUCCACUGUACAGUUACUCAGCAGAGCCCGCACGGAGCGUUCGUUGUCGAAGAUAAUGUACAGAGUUUCGUCCCGGAUUUUCGUGGUAAUUAGAGGGCCAUUCCACUUUCAACGGUCCAUAUUUUCCGAAAGCCGCCGUCAGAUUAGGUUCGGAAAUAUCCCAGGGAACGCCACCCAAAAAUACCUACAAAUCGGAAGUGGAAAAUAAAAUAUGCAGAGUCAACAGGUUGGGCCAAAAACUGAUAGGCCGGUGAUGCAGGAAUAAGCAGAACCUUUAGGAAUUCGUGCCGGCAGCAUACCACUCCACACGACAGUGGGAUCAUAAAUGGAUGCCGCCAUGCGGUACGCAUGAGCCUGACGCUCGACAUUGGCAUCGCCGGCCCAGCGCUGAUCCUUCGGCAUCAUGUGCUGCUUAUGGCCGCCGCGGAAUCCCGCCACACGGGCAUACUGCUCCACCAUCAAAGGACUGCCACCCGAUGCACACCCGCAAUACCCGGAAUUUCGUCCUGAACACGCCGCAAUGUGAUCGAUCUGCUCCGGCGACUGAUGCGAAUAGUUGGCAUGCAUCAGCGCCGGGGUCACAUUCUGCAUGGGCACCGACACCGGUCGACUGAUCGGGGAUGAUACCGGCGAAUAGGAAAUCCCAUGCUGUGCCAAGUUGUAAUCGGGAACCAUGGCCGCCUUACUGCGCAGUACAGUCGGCGUCGGACUGCGUGAAGCGUUAACCGGAAGCCGACGCAGAGACUGACGUGGCAACGCUCCCUGAUUGAUGAUGGUGCGCAUGUUUCCGGAAUUGCGACGGCAGUCUAAAUUUUCCUGAAAUUCAGAAUGUUACAGCUAAAACGUAUAUAUGCUUAUUCAAUUAUUCAUAUUAUCUACCACGGCGUUUUUUGCGAUUUCGCAUUUCUUUUCUUGAAGUGGAACAAAGGAAGUAAUAAUAUUUCACACACAA